rnacentral:lncRNA from 1 species
GGACCGAGAGGCGAGAGGACUGAGAUUUGAAUUUAAUAUGUUUGAAAACAUAUCUAUGAUUUUGUCAGUGUCUCGACCAGUAAAACAACGUAAAUUGAGCAGUUUUUGGCAAAUGAUCCGGAUCAUCGCUCAACUGGUUCGAUUAACAUAACAUGCUUAUGAAUGAGAUCAGACGUGUGUCGGCGCCACCUUGUGGACAAUGUGUGUAUCUGCAUCAAUAGACGAAAACAGCACAACCUCAAAGCCCGGUCAAAGCGAGACAGCAGCACUGGGACUUUUCACUGUUUGUAUCACUCCGCGUGUUUCAGAUGGACGGUCAGUUUAUUGUUGGUGCUGGGGAUUUGACAUUGGGGAGGUUACUGAGGUUACACCAGUAUGUGGCGACAGUGACCUUCAUUCAGUGAGUGAAAAAACACGCGAAAUAUCAUUACAGACAGUUCAGUUCAUUUGGCUCUCUGAAAAUCUGCUGAUUUGUAUCAGAUGGAUUAAAUAAGGUGCUGGACAAGGAUCAAGAAAUACAGGUUUGUAGGUGAACUGCAUCAUGGGAAGUGUGUCAUCUGCAGAUGGAGGAAGGAGGUUCUUCGUGUUCUCAGUGAUGAAGCCUUGGCUGUACUCUCUUCCUAGCACACACCUCAAGUUAAUGACUUCUGCUUGUUAUCUUUUGUUUGAUUAUUAAUGUCUGGUUGAACUGGAGUAAGUCACCUAAACUGAGGUUGGUGAUUUGGCUAAACAGCAUCUGUAAAUCAACACAUUUUUACCGUCUGGAUCCCUGUCGAUGGUGUACCACAGCUUAAAACAUGUCGGGUGACUGGCCAUGACCUCUUCUAACUCAGGACGCAGGAGAAUGUCUUUUUCUGUCUGUUGGAGAAGACAAAAAGAGUAGUGAGUGGGAAUAAUUCUUAGUCCUAAAUAAUUCAAGCUGUUACCAUGACCAGGGGCAAACUGAGUCACUUUAACUAACAUAAAAAAAAAAGAUAUAUUUUUGGUGGAUCACCUUGUUUGCCGAUUUCUCGUCAGGUCUGACUGCAAAUGAUUUAGCAGAAAUACUGAUACUUGUAAGUCAUAAUGUGUCAGUCUCAUCUUUUACAUGGAAGUAGUGAUGAGAGGAGCAGAGCUCUUCCAAACUCUGAAUUUAAAUGUUUGGCUGUUUUAAAGUGCUCUACACAACACAUGUGGAGACACCUGCUAGUCAAAAUGCUGUAAAUGCAACACAUUUCAAACAUGUUUAAUGACACCUUUUACAAAGUAAAAUCAAUUAUUAAAGGUAUAGUUCACCCACCCAA